UACGAAGGGGGCUAGCGUUGUUCGGAAUUACUGGGCGUAAAGCGCACGCAGGCGGAUUGAUAAGUCAGGGGUGAAAUCCCGGGGCUUAACCUCGGAAUUGCCUUUGAUACUGUCUGUCUUGAGUCCGGGAGAGGUGAGUGGAAUUCCUAGUGUAGAGGUGAAAUUCGUAGAUAUUAGGAAGAACACCAGUGGCGAAGGCGGCUCACUGGCCCGGAACUGACGCUCAUUUGCGAAAGCAUGGGGAGCAAACAAA
rnacentral:rRNA from 1 species